UACGGAGGGUGCGAGCGUUAAUCGGAAUUACUGGGCGUAAAGCGUGCGCAGGCGGCUUUGCAAGACAGAUGUGAAAUCCCCGGGCUUAACCUGGGAACUGCAUUUGUGACUGCAAGGCUAGAGUGCGGCAGAGGGGGAUGGAAUUCCGCGUGUAGCAGUGAAAUGCGUAGAUAUGCGGAGGAACACCGAUGGCGAAGGCAAUCCCCUGGGCCUGCACUGACGCUCAUGCACGAAAGCGUGGGGAGCAAACAGG
rnacentral:rRNA from 1 species